GACCGCUCCGGUAGCCUAGUGGUUAGAGCGUCCACUUUGGAUGCGGGAUAUCGUGGAUUCGAUCCCCGGUCGAGUCA